rnacentral:misc_RNA from 1 species
ACACCUGACAACAAAGUAACAACAUGGCGGCGAUGGUCAGGUUGCUGGAAGAAACUGACCCCAUCGUUGAGGAAGUUUAUCGCCGAAAAAAUGAAGCUGAAGAAGCAAGACAACUUGAAUAUCUGUCAACCGUAAAGAUACAGGCAUGGUAUCGAGGAGAAAAGACGAGAGCAUACAUGAGCCAUCUUAAUAAGUGUGCGCUCAUCAUUCAAAGACACUGGAGAGGUUAUCUAGGAAGGGGGCUAACAAGAAUUCUUGUCAAGAACAGUGUAAUGAUUAUGAAAAUAAACUUCUACAACAAGAAAGCAACUUAUAUACAAAAAAUGUGGAGAGGAUAUUACGUCAGGAAAUAUGUAUUUAAUUACUACAGUCGAAAGAGAUACCUUGAAGCAUUACAAAUCAAAAAUGAAAUUGUCAGGAGUGAACUAGAAGAAUAUGCAGAGAUGCAGGAACAGGAGAGAAGAAGAAAGGCAGAGAAGGUGGAGAAAGAGAGAAGGGAGGUGCUGGCCCGACGGAACCACUACCUGAUCAGUACAGAGGUCAUACCGGGGGUCUUCAACUCGCCGUUCCUACCUUAUCCGACAGAUACAGAGUACUUAUUGAGAUCCGUCAAACCACUCCUACAUGAGAAGAAGAAGAAGACAGACAAACCUUUCGAUCCAACAUGUAGGAGUUAUGAUCUGCCCAAACCAAAACUCUUACCUCCUUUGCCAACCAAACCUCAGGGUCCGUUCCGUGAGCCAGAGGACGUACAGAAUCAGCGCUACAAGCCAUUCCAGCCCUCACUCAGAGUGGCCACAUCAUUCACCUCGCUAGAGGAGGCAAGAAAACAAAUGAAGAAUGAAGAAUGGGUCACCAGACUCAAUGAUAAUGUGUUUGAGCCAUUCAGUAGACGUGACUCGAGGUAUGAGCCUCUUCUCCACACACGCUCUGAGUAUGGUCACCUUCCCUACGGUUUCAGAUAUUUCCGUGAGGAGUUUCCAGAUAGGCGUGUCACUCAGCAGUGGUUCCCAGCAUCCGCAGGUAAUGGUGGUAGAAUAACCACAUAACAAUGCCCACUAAAUAUUGACUUAACUGUUAGACCAAUCAAAAGGUUACAGCUCAUCACUUCAUCAUCCAAUCAAAUUAAAGAGAUCAUGAUGUGACGUUGUAUACCCAGCAAAGAUGUAAUCAUUUGAUGUCAAGAACAGUUUUUAAAGCUUGAUUUAUUUGAUUAUCAUUAAGGAUAAUAUGUACAUGGUGUAUUCAGAUAUAAAAAAUCGUCAUCAUCAGAUAUUCCCAAAACUAAUAUCAUGUUGGCAAUAUGUCUCACAAGUCAUUUUAUAGCAUAGCUGUUAGCCUGGGAGGAUUUGAUGAUCAAAAUUUUAGUUCACUUGCAUAUUAUUUCUCUGUAGCCAAAAAAAAUUAAAUAAUGUAUUGCAAAAAUUUAAGUAAGUGUAAUUGAUAUUUUGAGCCAAAGUAUUCUGUAGCUGUUGUACUUAACCAGUGAUUACAUCCUUGCUAACUCUAAUCCUGAAUGUUUGAAUAGUAUAUAGUACAUAGCUGGUCCUAACCAAGAAUUGACUUUGCAGGAAAAGGAACGGAUAAUAGAAACAAAUUUAAGACUUGAACAUCGUGAAAAGGUACUAACCACAUCUGGAGGUGUGCAGGAUAACAGCGCAGGGCUUGGGUUCUAAGGUUCAUGGGGGCUAAUAAUUAGUCUGCUUUAAAAAAAAAUUAAACAGGUUGAGGGGGAUCAGUUGGUAUUAGUGUGAAAGAGAUAAAAUAAUAAUAUUGUUUGGUGCCUUUUUUUGAUGUGCUUGAAAUAUUAUCAACGUAGUGGUGAUGGUGGAUAUUUGUGUUAUGUUGAUAUUGUUGAUUGUUGAUUGUUUCCAGAAGGAUGAUAUUGACUGUUUUAAUGUUAUUCUACAGUGCGGUUUGUAUUGAAACACAUUUACUGUGCGUGUGCAUAUCCACUGAACAAUCUGAUUUGUUUGUACAUGUAUAUGCCUGAUUUUUUUUAAAGAUGUUUUUAAAUAUCCAUUAAUUAUCAAAGUUCCAUUCUAUUUUGCGAUAAUUUCAUGGCAUGCUCUUGUAUUUUGCAGUCUUUCAAGACAUUGGUACCUUCGAUCCCAAUCUUUGACAAGCUGAAUGAUACAUACUCCCAAGGUCAAGUGUUCUAAAGACCCAGACUGCCACAGAAGAUGCGGCAUCUUUACAAAAAUUAUCUUUACAUGCUGAAAGAACUUUCAAGACACGGGGAUGUACUAGUGAUAUGUACACAUACCUAAUGUACAAUAUAUGUAAGAAAAGACCUUUCACCAUAUGAAAAUAUGUCAAAUAAAGCGGGAGAUUGUAGGUGUUGAUAUUUCUUGUUUCUUGAUUGAUCUUGAAGUUAAAUGCUUUGUGAUAAACAUUUUGAUAUCAUGUUUACUGUGUAUCUGAUUCAUUUGAUCAAAUUGAAAUUGUUUUUGUUGUUAUACAUCUGUAUAUUCUACAUUGUAAUUAAAUCAUGAC